AGCAUGAGUUGGAAGUUAAAUGAGGAUAUGAAGAGAAAAUUGUUGUUACUUGUUUCUUAAGUCUUUGCGUUCCAUCAGUACGUAGAGGCUUUUCUUUCAGGGGUUUCUCCUUACUUAGAAUUUGGCUGAUGCAACGAACUCUGCCUGAUAUAAGUCUGGUUGGGACUCCGCGGUCUUAGGUGAAAGAUGAACAUGCUCAAAGAAGAUGCUAUGCAGAGCAAUAUUUGAAAAGCAUGAUUAGUACAUUGUCCUAAGCUCGCAUAUUAACAUCUUAACAUUUUCCUUUUCAAUUUGAAUAUUGCAAGAUUUUGAGAGUCCAUGGGUUCUACAAUCUUUUGUUAACCUUUAGGGCUCCACGGAGAAAGUUGUCGGAUGGGCGUGACUAACAAGUGAAGCUGUUUUGUUUUGUUGAUAUACCAUGGAUGUCACAUUGUCAUAAAUGAAAUAUCUUCAAGGAGUUACUUUGAUAGACGACUCAACACCUAAAAGGAGAUCUGAAAUUUCCUGUUUUUAUGGUCAUGUUGUGUGAUCAAGGGAAAAGGGCAUUUUUAGAAACCAACAAUUUGCGUCGUGGUUUUUUAGACCCAAACAAAACAUAAGUGCGAAAUCAUUCCUAUACUGAGAUUUUUUUAAAAAAAAUUCGACCCAAACUUUACUCUGUAACAUAAAAUUCUACUUUGACUAACUUAUCGUUAGUCAACCGUUAAACCAUGCUUAGUCGGAUAAGGAAAAAAGUGCUGAUUUCAGCCCAUACAAUUUUAGUCGUGCCUUUUCAGACCUGAACAAUGGGUAAAUGCGAUUUCAUACACAAACUGAAUAGUAAUUUGAAUUUCAUACUUGAAGGAUUCAAGUAUAAAGAUCAUAGGAGAAGUUCAGCUGAGUAAUAGUUAAGUGUUGGGAGACUCUUUAUGAGUCGGAAGGUUUGUAAUACUCUAAAGUUGGCC
rnacentral:lncRNA from 1 species